rnacentral:piRNA from 1 species
UGAGUCUCCAGAGAAGGGACCUGAGUGU